rnacentral:rRNA from 1 species
AUGAACGCUGGCGGCGUGCCUAAUACAUGCAAGUCGAGCGAACAGACGAGGAGCUUGCUCCUCUGACGUUAGCGGCGGACGGGUGAGUAACACGUGGAUAACCUACCUAUAAGACUGGGAUAACUUCGGGAAACCGGAGCUAAUACCGGAUAAUAUAUUGAACCGCAUGGUUCAAUAGUGAAAGACGGUUUUGCUGUCACUUAUAGAUGGAUCCGCGCCGCAUUAGCUAGUUGGUAAGGUAACGGCUUACCAAGGCAACGAUGCGUAGCCGACCUGAGAGGGUGAUCGGCCACCCUGGAACUGAGACACGGUCCAGACUCCUACGGGAGGCAGCAGUAGGGAAUCUUCCGCAAGGGGCGAAAGCCUGACGGAGCAACGCCGGGUGAGUGAUGAAGGUCUUGGGAUCGUAAAACUCUUUUAUUGGGGAAGAAAAAAUGUGUAAGUAACUUUGCACGUCUUGACGGUACCUAAUCAGAAAACCACGGCUAACUACGU